ACCGGGUCAGAACUGGGUCAGAACCGGGUCAGAACCUGGACACCUUCCAGGAGGUGGUCAAGGUCAGAACCGGGUCAGAACCGGGUCAGAACCUGGACACCUUCCAGGAGGUGGUCAAGGUCAGAACCGGGUCAGAACUGGGUCAGAACCGGGUCAGAACCUGGACACCUUCCAGGAGGUGGUCACGGUCAGAACCGGUCAGAACCAGUCGACUAAAUGAAACCAGAACCAGUCCAGGGCUCCUUUCAGAGUAGCUGGGUUGGUGCUGGAGGUCCGGUCUCCUGCAGGGUUCUGAUGCUUACAUGGUUCUGACCCAGAGUCCGGAUGAAGCGGUGCCGGUUCUGAUUCCACUCUGCUUCUC